rnacentral:rRNA from 1 species
GACGAACGCUGGCGGCGCGCUUAAUACAUGCAAGUCGAGCGAGAACCAGGGCUUCGGCCCUGGGGACAGCGGCGAACGGGUGAGUAACACGUGGAUAACCUACCCUUGGCACCGGAAUAGCCCGGGGAAACUCGGAUUAAUGCCGGAUAGCCCCACAUCCUCUCGAGGAACGUGGGAAAAGGUAGCUUCGGCCUCUGGCCGGGGAUGGGUCCGCGGUGGAUUAGCUUGUUGGUGCGGGUAAUGGCCCACCAAGGCGACGAUCCAUAGCUGGUCUGAGAGGACGAUCAGCCACACUGGGACUGAGACACGGCCCAGACUCCUACGGGAGGCAGCAGUAGGGAAUCUUGCGCAAUGGGCGAAAGCCUGACGCAGCGACGCCGCGUGCGGGAAGAAGGCC